GCGAUCAAAGGUGUAAGGCGAACACAGCUGCCAGGAAAGCAGAAGGUGCGGGUUCGAGUCCCGCCUGGCGCA
rnacentral:tRNA from 1 species